AAAGAAAGAAAGAAAAAGGAUAGAAAAUGAAGAAACAAAGCAAACGAAACAGAGAGCAGGGAAAAGAAAGAAAGAAGAAAGAGAAAAGAAAGAAGAAAAGGAAAAAUUAAAGGUUUAAAGCUUGGAAGUUUAAUAGAUAUCGUAGCUACCAGAAGCUCGGCGAUCAUCGAGGAUUGUCACCACACUAUGGAACCUUACUUUGCAAAUGGAUCCCAAACAAGCCGUAGCUGACGAUGUCGAGAGUAAUGCACCUGCUUCCGCGCAAGGGACAUCGCCAUCAUAUUCUAGA